rnacentral:rRNA from 1 species
UACGUAGGGGGCAAGCGUUAUCCGGAUUUACUGGGUGUAAAGGGGGCGCAGACGGCGAUGCAAGCCAGGAGUGAAAGCCCGGGGCCCAACCCCGGGACUGCUCUUGGAACUGCGUGGCUGGAGUGCAGGAGGGGCAGGCGGAAUUCCUGGUGUAGCGGUGAAAUGCGUAGAUAUCAGGAGGAACACCGGUGGCGAAGGCGGCCUGCUGGACUGCAACUGACACUGAGGCUCGAAAGCGUGGGGAGCAAACAGG